rnacentral:sRNA from 2 species
GUUUGCACUUGUCGGGGAAGGGUGAGAACCUUCGAUUAAGGUUCGACUCGAGCGAAAGCGAGAGAACGUUGCCAACGGCAACGGCCCG